GUUUUCAGCAGGUUCUUCAGUGAAGUCAUUUCUGAAUGUUGUGCUUUAUAGUUGCCUUCAUGCGAUUGGACUGCCAGUCUGAUGUCAUCACUGCUCGGUCACCUCAAGAAGCGAAGGACAUAGAAGAUCGAGGCUUGAAAUCACAGAUGGAGAAAUUU